GCCGGGCUAGCUCAAUCGGUAGAGCGUGUGGCUCUUAUUUAGUUAAGGUUCAACCACAAGGUUGCGAGUUCGACCCUCGCGUUCGGCU